rnacentral:rRNA from 1 species
GAUGAACGCUGGCGGCGUGCCUAAUACAUGCAAGUCGAGCGAACGGACGAGAAGCUUGCUUCUCUGAUGUUAGCGGCGGAAGGGUGAGUAACACGUGGAUAACCUACCUAUAAGACUGGGAUAACUUCGGGAAACCGGAGCUAAUACCGGAUGAUAUUUUGAACCGCAUGGUUCAAAAGUGAAAGACGGUCUUUCUGUCACUUAUAGAUGGAUCCGCGCUGCAUUAGCUAGUUGGUAAGGUAACGGCUUACCAAGGCAACGAUGCAUAGCCGACCUGAGAGGGUGAUCGGCCACACUGGAACUGAGACACGGUCCAGACUCCUACGGGAGGCAGCAGUAGGGAAUCUUCCGCAAUGGGCGAAAGCCUGACGGAGCAACGCCGCGUGAGUGAUGAAGGUCUUCGGAUCGUAAAACUCUGUUAUUAGGGAAGAACAUAUGUGUAAGUAACUGUGCACAUCUUGACGGUACCUAAUCAGAAAGCCACGGCUAACUACGUG